CUUUCCCUCAUUGGCUGAGUGCAAGAAAAGGACGCCUUGAUAACCAAGCAGCUCUCCUGGCUAGAGACUGCAAGUCUAAGGUAGAUCCAAUUGGGAAGAAAAAUGAAGGCGUCCACUGGUGCUUUGCUCACGUGCUUGUGGCUGCAGCUGAACUGGGCCCUUGGAGAGCAGGUGGAGCAGCACCCUUCCACCCUGAGAGUCCAGGAGGGAGACAGCUCUGUUAUCAACUGCACUUACUCAGACAGCGCUUCAUCCUACUUCCCCUGGUACAAACAAGAGGCUGGGAAGGGUCCCCAGCUCAUCAUUGACAUUCGCUCAAACGUGGGGAGAAACCAAAAGCAAAGACUCCUCGUUUUAAUGGACAAGGCAGCCAGGCACGUCUCCCUGCACAUCACCGCUGCCCGGCCCGCGGACUCUGCUGUGUACUUCUGCGCAGCUGGUGCACACUGCUGCGUCGGCACCUGCCGCCUGUGCGAAAACCUGGCCCUGCGCUGGGCCCAGCCCUGUCCUCUGGCACAGGCUUUCCAAUAUUUACCGUGUUGGUUUGUAAGUGACAACUAUCACAGAGACAUUAAAAAGCAUAUAGUCUGACAGGCUCAAGAUGAUUCAGGAAGGCUUAGCUUCAGGACAUUUUGUUAGUACUAAAUUCUUGUGUUUAACAGAUAGUUUUCCUGAUUUAUUUUUUAUUGUUUAUAUUUAAAUUGUACCAAUGUGAUGUUCUGAUAUUCAUAUCCAUAGUGGAAAUAAACAGUUUCAUGCCCUCUUGUGUUUAGCAAUCCUAAUACUCCGUAGAGUAGAUUCUUACAGGGAAUUAGUCGUGCUUUGUGUUGAUUUUCAGGUUUUAAAAAUGGGCUUAUGAUACAAUGGAGUAUUACUCAGUUAUAAAAAAGAUAAACUCAA